rnacentral:rRNA from 1 species
GAGUAAUGUCUGGGAAACUGCCUGAUGGAGGGGGAUAACUACUGGAAACGGUGGCUAAUACCGCAUAACGUCGCAAGACCAAAGAGGGGGACCUUCGGGCCUCUUGCCAUCAGAUGUGCCCAGAUGGGAUUAGCUUGUUGGUGAGGUAACGGCUCACCAAGGCGACGAUCCCUAGCUGGUCUGAGAGGAUGACCAGCCACACUGGAACUGAGACACGGUCCAGACUCCUACGGGAGGCAGCAGUGGGGAAUAUUGCACAAUGGGCGCAAGCCUGAUGCAGCCAUGCCGCGUGUAUGAAGAAGGCCUUCGGGUUGUAAAGUACUUUCAGCGGGGAGGAAGGUGUUGUGGUUAAUAACCGCAGCAAUUGACGUUACCCGCAGAAGAAGCACCGGCUAACUCCGUGCCAGCAGCCGCGGUAAUACGGAGGGUGCAAGCGUUAAUCGGAAUUACUGGGCGUAAAGCGCACGCAGGCGGUCUGUCAAGUCGGAUGUGAAAUCCCCGGGCUCAACCUGGGAACUGCAUUCGAAACUGGCAGGCUUGAGUCUUGUAGAGGGGGGUAGAAUUCCAGGUGUAGCGGUGAAAUGCGUAGAGAUCUGGAGGAAUACCGGUGGCGAAGGCGGCCCCCUGGACAAAGACUGACGCUCAGGUGCGAAAGCGUGGGGAGCAAACAGGAUUAGAUACCCUGGUAGUCCACGCCGUAAACGAUGUCUACUUGGAGGUUGUGCCCUUGAGGCGUGGCUUCCGGAGCUAACGCGUUAAGUAGACCGCCUGGGGAGUACGGCCGCAAGGUUAAAACUCAAAUGAAUUGACGGGGGCCCGCACAAGCGGUGGAGCAUGUGGUUUAAUUCGAUGCAACGCGAAGAACCUUACCUGGUCUUGACAUCCACAGAACUUUCCAGAGAUGGAUUGGUGCCUUCGGGAACUGUGAGACAGGUGCUGCAUGGCUGUCGUCAGCUCGUGUUGUGAAAUGUUGGGUUAAGUCCCGCAACGAGCGCAACCCUUAUCCUUUGUUGCCAGCGGUCCGG